rnacentral:rRNA from 1 species
GAGUGGCGGACGGGUGAGUAACGCGUGGGUAACCUGCCUCAUACAGGGGGAUAACAGUUAGAAAUGACUGCUAAUACCGCAUAAGCACACGUGAUCGCAUGAUCGAGUGUGAAAAACUCCGGUGGUAUGAGAUGGACCCGCGUCUGAUUAGCUAGUUGGUGGGGUAACGGCCCACCAAGGCGAGGAUCACUAGCCGGCCUGAGAGGGUGAACGGCCACAUUGGGACUGAGACACGGCCCAAACUCCUACGGGAGGCAGCAGUGGGGAAUAUUGCACAAUGGGGGAAACCCUGAUGCAGCGACGCCGCGUGAAGGAUGAAGUAUUUCGGUAUGUAAACUUCUAUCAGCAGGGAAGAAAAUGACGGUACCUGACUAAGAAGCCCCGGCUAACUACGUGCCAGCAGCCGCGGUAAUACGUAGGGGGCAAGCGUUAUCCGGAUUUACUGGGUGUAAAGGGAGCGUAGACGGCAGUGCAAGUCUGAAGUGAAAGCCCGGGGCUCAACCCCGGGACUGCUUUGGAAACUGUGCAGCUAGAGUG